UUGAUUGCUGCGAUUUUAAAUAAGUUCCUCGUUCUGAACUGCGAUUUAUUAUUAGCAUUACAGACACCGAGGCACCCAUUGAAUGUCAGCAAC